UACGGAGGGUGCGAGCGUUGUCCGGAAUCACUGGGCGUAAAGAGCUCGUAGGCGGUCUGUCGCGUCUGCUGUGAAAACUCGGGGCUUAACCCCGGGCCUGCAGUGGGUACGGGCAGACUAGAGUGCGGUAGGGGAGACUGGAAUUCCUGGUGUAGCGGUGAAAUGCGCAGAUAUCAGGAGGAACACCGGUGGCGAAGGCGGGUCUCUGGGCCGAUACUGACGCUGAGGAGCGAAAGCGUGGGGAGCAAACAGG
rnacentral:rRNA from 1 species